rnacentral:rRNA from 1 species
AUUGAACGCUGGCGGCAUGCCUUACACAUGCAAGUCGAACGGCAGCACGGGUGCUUGCACCUGGUGGCGAGUGGCGAACGGGUGAGUAAUACAUCGGAACGUACCUUAUCGUGGGGGAUAACGCAGCGAAAGUUGCGCUAAUACCGCAUACGCCCUGAGGGGGAAAGCGGUGGACCGUAAAGCCUCGCGCGAUUAGAGCGGCCGAUGUCUGAUUAGCUUGUUGGUGAGGGAAAAGCUCACCAAGGCGAUGAUCAGUAGCUGGUCUGACAGGACGAUCAGCCACGCUGGGAGUGAGGCAAGGCCCAGACGCCUACGGGAGGCAGCUAUGGGGUAUUAUGGACAAUGGGCGGAACCUUGCUCCAGCCAUGCGGCGUGAGUGAAGAAGGCCUUCGGGUUGUAACGCUCUGUCGUCAGGGAGCAAACACCGGCUGUUACCCAGCGCGGGAAUGACGGUACCUGAAGAGUAAGCACUGGCUAACUGCGUGGCAGCCGCCGCCGUAA